GGAUCAGUACGCUGGUCGUGCCUUUGGUAUGUACUGGUGUCACUGAUUCCUCCCUUCUGAAGAACCGUUAUGCCAUUUAUUUGGUGUGGCGGGGAAUCAGGACUGUUACUUUGAAAAAAUUAGAGUGUUUAAAGCAGGCUUACGCUUGAAUACAUUAGCAUGGAAUAAUGAAAUAGGACGUUUGAUUCUAUUUUGUUGGUUUCCAGGAUUGACGUA
rnacentral:rRNA from 1 species